GGGAGAGUGGCGGAACCGGCAGACGCAACGGACUUAAAAUCCGUUGAUCUUUACAAGAUCGUGGGGGUUCAAGUCCCCCCUCUCCCACCA
rnacentral:tRNA from 2 species